GGGUCAGUAGGUUGGUCGUGCCACCGGUACGUACUGGUCUCACUGAUCCCUCCUUCCUGAAGAACCGUAAUGCCAUUAAUUUGGUGUUGCGGGGAAACAGGACUGUUACUUUGAAAAAAUUAGAGUGUUUAAAGCAAGCUAACGCUUGAAUACAUUAGCAUGGAAUAAUGAAAUAGGACGAUCGAUCCUAUUUUGUUGGUUUCUAGAAUUGACGUA
rnacentral:rRNA from 1 species